AGUUUGAUCAUGGCUCAGGACGAACGCUGGCGGCGUGCCUAACACAUGCAAGUCGAACGGAGAUGCUUAAGAGGAGACUUCGGUCAACGAUUAAGUAUUCUUAGUGGCGGACGGGUGAGUAACGCGUGAGCAAUCUGCCUUUCAGAGGGGGAUAACGUUCUGAAAAGAACGCUAAUACCGCAUAACGUAUUUUGAUGGCAUCAUUGAAAUACCAAAGGAGCAAUCCGCUGAAAGAUGAGCUCGCGUCUGAUUAGAUAGUUGGUGAGGUAACGGCUCACCAAGUCGACGAUCAGUAGCCGGUCUGAGAGGAUGAACGGCCACAUUGGGACUGAGAUACGGCCCAGACUCCUACGGGAGGUAGCAGUGGGGAAUAUUGCACAAUGGGGGAAGCCCUGAUGCAGCGACGCCGCGUGAGUGAAGAAGUAUUUCGGUAUGUAAAGCUCUAUCAGCAGGGAAGAAAAUGACGGUACCUGACUAAGAAGCUCCGGCUAAAUACGUGCCAGCAGCCGCGGUAAUACGUAUGGAGCAAGCGUUAUCCGGAUUUACUGGGUGUAAAGGGAGCGUAGACGGUUUAGUAAGUCUGAAGUGAAAGCCCGGUGCUCAACGCCGGGACUGCUUUGGAAACUAUUGAACUAGAGUGCAGGAGAGGUAAGUGGAAUUCCUAGUGUAGCGGUGAAAUGCGUAGAUAUUAGGAGGAACACCAGUGGCGAAGGCGGCUUACUGGACUGUAACUGACGUUGAGGCUCGAAAGCGUGGGGAGCAAACAGGAUUAGAUACCCUGGUAGUCCACACUGUAAACGAUGAUUACUAGGUGUGGGAGGUCUGACCCCUUCCGUGCCGCAGUUAACGCAAUAAGUAAUCCACCUGGGGAGUACGACCGCAAGGUUGAAACUCAAAGGAAUUGACGGGGGCCCGCACAAGCAGUGGAUUAUGUGGUUUAAUUCGAAGCAACGCGAAGAACCUUACCAGGUCUUGACAUCCAACUAACGAGAUAGAGAUAUGUUAGGUGCCCUUCGGGGAAAGUUGAGGCAGGUGGUGCAUGGUUGUCGUCAGCUCGUGUCGUGAGAUGUUGGGUUAAGUCCCGCAACGAGCGCAACCCCUGCCAUUAGUUGCUACGCAAGAGCACUCUAAUGGGACCGCUACCGACAAGGUGGAGGAAGGUGGGGACGACGUCAAAUCAUCAUGCCCCUUAUGACCUGGGCUACACACGUAAUACAAUGGCCGUUAACAGAAGGAAGCGAAGGCGCGAGCCGGAGCAAACCCCCAAAAACGGUCUCAGUUCGGAUUGCAGGCUGCAACUCGCCUGUAUGAAGUCGGAAUUGCUAGUAAUCGCGGAUCAGCAUGCCGCGGUGAAUACGUUCCCGGGCCUUGUACACACCGCCCGU
rnacentral:rRNA from 1 species